rnacentral:rRNA from 1 species
UGCAGUCGAGCGAACAGAGAAGGAGCUUGCUCCUUUGACGUUAGCGGCGGACGGGUGAGUAACACGUGGGCAACCUACCCUAUAGUUUGGGAUAACUCCGGGAAACCGGGGCUAAUACCGAAUAAUCUAUGUCACCUCAUGGUGACAUACUGAAAGACGGUCUCGGCUGUCGCUAUAGGAUGGGCCCGCGGCGCAUUAGCUAGUUGGUGAGGUAACGGCUCACCAAGGCGACGAUGCGUAGCCGACCUGAGAGGGUGAUCGGCCACACUGGGACUGAGACACGGCCCAGACUCCUACGGGAGGCAGCAGUAGGGAAUCUUCCACAAUGGGCGAAAGCCUGAUGGAGCAACGCCGCGUGAGUGAAGAAGGUUUUCGGAUCGUAAAACUCUGUUGUAAGGGAAGAACAAGUACAGUAGUAACUGGCUGUACCUUGACGGUACCUUAUUAGAAAGCCACGGCUAACUACGUGCCAGCAGCCGCGGUAAUACGUAGGUGGCAAGCGUUGUCCGGAAUUAUUGGGCGUAAAGCGCGCGCAGGCGGUCCUUUAAGUCUGAUGUGAAAGCCCACGGCUCAACCGUGGAGGGUCAUUGGAAACUGGGGGACUUGAGUGCAGAAGAGGAAAGUGGAAUUCCAAGUGUAGCGGUGAAAUGCGUAGAGAUUUGGAGGAACACCAGUGGCGAAGGCGACUUUCUGGUCUGUAACUGACGCUGAGGCGCGAAAGCGUGGGGAGCAAACAGGAUUAGAUACNCUGGUAGUCCACGCCGUAAACGAUGAGUGCUAAGUGUUA